UNGCACACAGAGAGGAUUCUGUGUAUGAG
rnacentral:piRNA from 1 species